rnacentral:rRNA from 1 species
CCGCAUAAGACCACGGGAUCACAUGGUUCUGGGGUAAAAGAUUUAUCGGUUUGGGGUGGGCUCGCGUCCGAUUAGGUAGUUGGUGAGGUAACGGCCCACCAAGCCGACGAUCGGUAGCCGACCUGAGAGGGUGAUCGGCCACAUUGGGACUGAGACACGGCCCAAACUCCUACGGGAGGCAGCAGUGGGGAAUAUUGGGCAAUGGGGGGAACCCUGACCCAGCAACGCCGCGUGGAGGAAGAAGGUUUUCGGAUCGUAAACUCCUGUCCUUGGAGACGAGUAGAAGACGGUAUCCAAGGAGGAAGCCCCGGCUAACUACGUGCCAGCAGCCGCGGUAAUACGUAGGGGGCAAGCGUUGUCCGGAAUAAUUGGGCGUAAAGGGCGCGUAGGCGGCUCGGUAAGUCUGGAGUGAAAGUCCUGCUUUUAAGGUGGGAAUUGCUUUGGAUACUGUCGGGCUUGAGUGCAGGAGAGGUUAGUGGAAUUCCCAGUGUAGCGGUGAAAUGCG